AAAACGUCUAAGGAAUUAUUGGAAUUUUCUUCCUGAAGGUUUUGCAAAUUUUCAGAAAUUUGAUGAAUUUUUUUCCUGAAUUUUUGGAUUUUUUUCAGACAAGGAAACAAUAUUUUUUGGUGCCCGUAAAUGAGGACAACAGGAGCGUUAAACCUGUUGCAUUAGCUUCAUCUUUGCUGUUUUUUUUCUCUCUGUCUUUUCUUGAAACAGAUGCAUCAUUUGUCUGGAACACCACAAGCAUUUUGGAUGAACCAUGAACCUGGGGACAAACCUGACUUUCAACUCUGCUGACACAAACUUGCCGCAGCUGGUAAAGUUUCUGCUCGAGCUGGUUUCUGACUGUCUGUCACAGAGCACAUGACAGGAAAGACGUCGGUCCUAUUUUUGAUAUCAUAACUGUUAGAAGAUGUUUCUGCUGCAACCUCGACGGCCUUUGUGAUGACCCAGAAGGACUCAGACAGACUGACUUGUGAGAACAGCCAUCUGUGAAUUUCUCCUCUUUUUUUUCCCCCCUCCUUGUAGAUGGAAAUAUCCCUGAAAUACUAAGCAGGAGUGUUUGUGAGGUUGCAGCUUCUUUUUAAUGCUGCUUUAAUCACUAUUAUAUUCUUUAUUAUUACUUGUAUUAUGUCUGGAGUUUGAAAUUUGACAAAGUAUUUCAUAAUAUUGAAGCAUUUUGACUUUUAAGCAUGCAUACUUCCACCAGUUUGCUGCUGAGGUGUACUGCUCACCUUAUUUUAAAUAUCUUGUCCUAAAUAGUUCUUUUUAAACAAAUUUACAGCAGUAUGUGCUGAGUGUUGUUUUGUUUGUUUUUUUUUUAGCUUUAGGACACUUGUGUAACUGUGGAUUAAACCAGUAAUAUUUACAUCAAGGGAGAAUUUACGUUCUAUUAUCGCAGUAACCUGAAGCAGCUAAACUCAUCUGAAAACAUGCUCGCUCAAAAGUGAAAAUGUUUAUUCUACUUAAUCAACUUGAAGUGAUGAGGAUGAGCCAUUUUUCUGUUUUUAGUCUGUCAAAGUCUCUACAAGGCAUGACUCGUGUGGACGCAGGUCUUCCAUUUGCCGUUUUCUCCGGGAGUUCUGUGUGGGAGAACGAUGUUGGAAUGACCAAAGGAAGCUCGCAGUGCAUAUUUGUGUUUGACUACAUAACGUGUGUUGCUUUAAAAUUCAAGAGACGCCGAUUUCUUGUCAUCAAAUAACUUCCUCUCCCACGUGGUUUGAAAAUCUCUGGCACAGUAAUUCAGAUUUAACUUUGUAUUUUUCUUUUUCUUACAGUAACCUAUUUAUUAAAGACUAAUGACAUGGGUAGCCAGUUUUAAACUUUUAAUUUUAUACUAGUUUUUGCUUUUUUGUGAGUUUUCAGGACCGAUAUGUUGCGUUUUUGUUUUUUUUUUUUUUUGAAGCUGAAAAUUUAACAGAGCCUUAAAAUUUCUGUUGCACCCUGGUCUCAUGUUUCCUUUCCCCCCUUGAAGAUAAACAGCUGUCAUCAUUUGGUAAUAAACGUGCUGGACUCUGCUUUUGUG
ensembl:lncRNA